UACGUAUGGCGCAAGCGUUGUCCGGAAUUGUUGGGCGUAAAGAGCUCGUAGGCGGCUUGUCACGUCGGUUGUGAAAGCCCGGGGCUUAACCCCGGGUCUGCAUUCGAUACGGGCAGGCUAGAGUGUGGUAGGGGAGAUCGGAAUUCCUGGUGUAGCGGUGAAAUGCGCAGAUAUCAGGAGGAACCCCGGUGGCGAAGGCGGAUCUCUGGGCCAUUACUGACGCUGAGGAGCGAAAGCGUGGGGAGCGAACAGG
rnacentral:rRNA from 1 species